rnacentral:rRNA from 1 species
UACGUAGGGACCGAGCGUUGUCCGGAAUCAUUGGGCGUAAAGAGCGUGUAGGCGGCUAUUUAAGUCCUGCGUGAAAUCCUGCGGCUCAACCGCAGACGGUCGUGGGAAACUGGAUGGCUAGAGUGCGGGAGAGGAGAGUGGAAUUCCCGGUGUAGCGGUGAAAUGCGCAGAUAUCGGGAAGAACACCCGUGGCGAAGGCGGCUCUCUGGAACGCAACUGACGCUGAGACGCGAAAGUGUGGGGAGCGAACAGG